GUCUGCCCAACUCCAAAGCACAUGCUCCUCCCCAGGCUCCAGAGCACUUGGAGGGAAUCUCACGGUCAAGGAGACAACUGACACUGGAGUCACCUGUUGGUGCCUCAGGGAAUAGGAAGGAGGGAUACAGAUCUAUCUCAGAAGGGAAGGGGGCCAAGAUAUGGAGGCGGGGUGAGGGGGGAAGGGAUCCAGAAGGAUUAAGGUGUUAUGUCCAUGCACAAAAUGCACAAAGCAUGUAAAUAGUGUAUGCUGCAAACAUGAAUUUAAAAAUUUAAAAACAAAAAGUAUGGAAAAUGGAGUGAAUUCCAUCCAAGGCUCCAUCUCUAUAUUUGAUAGAAAAAAACAGGCAAAGUGAAACUAUGAUACUCCAUUCGCUCGCAGCGUCCCAGGCGCCACCUGAAGAGGCUAAAGAGAUCGGGUGUCUUUCACGCACUGCAAGGGGGAAGGAGCCCUCGUUACCCGCUAGAGGGAAGAGCAGAGGAGGAAGAGGCCAGGGCCCUGCGCAGUGAGGGUGGGGAGAGGGAGACUGACAGAGACAGGUAUGCAGCUCACGCAGAACACAGACAAUGCGAGCUGGAGGACAAAGAAAACACACCAGCCUGAACAGAGCUAGGUACAGAGAAAGAGAAUGCUGAAGCUGGGGGGCACACAAAGAGCGACAGAGAGGAUGUGUAAGAGGCUGAGAGAGGCAAAGUGCGCGCGCGGGAUCUACUUCCGGUCCUGCCCAGUGCUCUCACUCCAGCUGCCUCCGCCACUUCCGGUGGGUCUUUCUACACAGUUUCAGUACCUGAACAUCACGAGGUACUCCAUGCCAGAGAGGAUGCUGAGCUUUUUACAUGCCGUGAAUCUUCAAAAACAGCAUCUUUCUCAGCUACUUCCUGUUCUGCACUAA
rnacentral:lncRNA from 1 species